GAUGAAGAACGCAGCGAAAUGCGAUAAGUAAUGUGAAUUGCAGAUUUCAGUGAAUCAUCGAAUCUUUGAACGCACCUUGCGCCUUGUGGUAUUCCACAAGGCAUGCCCGUUUGAGUAUCAUUAAAUCAUCAACUCUAAAACCUUUGUGGUUUUUUUAGAGCUUGGUCUUGAGGGUUUUGCAGGCUUUUUUUUUUUCGAGUCUGCUCCCUUUAAAUGCAUUAGCGAGACUUCCCUAUGCUGAACCGUCUCUUUGACGUGAUAAUUAUCUGCGUCGAAUUCUGGUUCUCGUUGGGCUUGCUUCUAAUCGUCUGUUAAAGACAAAACGGAUUUGGGUGCAUAUAUGCGCCUUUUUCCAAAACCUUUUUUGAUCUCAAAUCGGGUAGGACUACCCGCUGAACUUAAGCAUAUCAAUAAGCGGAGGA
rnacentral:misc_RNA from 1 species